AUGGAUGUGCUAGAGAUCCACCAAGCAAUGUGGGAAGGAAGGUGGGCAGUGACUGCUGCUUGUCUCAGGCUCGCUGGGUUUGGAUCAACCUCGUGGUACUUCGCAGGUGGAAUUUGCACCAGCAGCUCCCCAGGUUCUCCCAGGUGGGCAAAUGAAGGCAAAAAGACAGAAAUGACCAGUCUGUGGCCUCACAGCAAACCUGCCAGAGCCAGGAUGAAAAUGCAGGAAUCUGGCAUUACCUCCCAAGCUGUGGUUGCCCUGCCAGGGCUGCGCUCUGCCUCUACCUUGGUGUCCCAAGUGCGUGACCAAGCACUGCCAGCGGUGUGUCUCCCUGCUCUGAAAGAGACAUUCACACUGCUCAAAAUGUGCUCACAUGCCCCUUUGGCUUGGCUCUUUCUAGGGGGUGAUGCUGUCUCACUAUGCCAAGUGCUCCACCAGCCCUGGUCCAAACCAAGCAGGAUGUCUGGUGUCAAAGCCAUCAAGGAGAUGAAAGCCAUAGAGACCCUCUGCCCUGAACCCAAGGCCUGAAUUUGCAGGGCUGGCCAGGGCAGUGUAUCCGUGAGUGGAAUUGUCUGGUUUGUGCUGAUUUCACCAUUUGUGCCCAAGGUAAAAGAAAACAUAAACUAGAAGAAAACAUCCUUCCAGGACUUAUGGGGCAUCCCUCUUUUAGCGAGGAGCUGCUCCCAUUCAGACUCUUCAGGCAAUGCCCAGACCUAUAGCAAGACGAUGCUCUCUUGAGUGUAUUGACCUUUUUGGCCCAUCUAAUGAGCCCUUCUGAGAAGAAUCAGAGAGGGAAGCUCACCAGAUUGCCCAUGGGUAGUUUUUGUCACUCCCUGGUAAAUUGCCCCAAAACAAGACACAAAAAUGACAUUAUGCAUACGUGUCUCUUUCAAAGUUGGGCAUGCAAAGAUUUAAAAAAAAAAAAAAUGUAUGGUUUGGGUUUUUUAUUUGUUUAUUUGUUUAUUGUACUCUGGCCAAUCAUCAUCUUCAUCAAUGUGUAUGUUAAAUUGUUUGUCUAAGAAAUAAAUGCUUAUUUGGAAUUUUUGGGAAGCUCUUU
rnacentral:lncRNA from 1 species